AGAAUAUUCGUUGUGGAAGCCUUAGGGUGUGGUUUAUGUUCUGCUGCUUCUUUUUGUAGAGAUGUGUAAUUGCUGUGAAAAAAAGGACAAGAGGCAAGCAUGGGCCUCUAUCAAACCAAACAUGUUGGAGCCACUGUAGCAGAUAAUUUUUGUGAUGAUGAACCUUCAAGUGCUUAAAAUGGGAUACUUUUCAAUGGAAUUUGAUCUAGACUGUUUGGACGUCGCUCCCACAUUGUGUUAUCCUCGUAUACAAUAUCUCUGCUUGUUACUCGUGCACUUAUGCUUUGUUUUAUAUUGGAAUUGUCUUUUUAAAUAAUAUA